UCCCCUUCUGACUCUGCAGCACCUGGGCCUCCAGCUGUGGGGCAGGUGCUGGGCACCUGCUGGCCCUCCGGGAGGAGCCUGUUCCAGACACCGCGGCCCUGCCCUGACUGGGGGCUGCACCCCCACAUCCAGAGCAGAGUUAGCGGGGACUGCACCCAAACACGCUGCCUCGUGAGUGAGUGAAAGGGAGUCUGUUCCCAGGAGUCUUCUUUGGAGGGAAUCCCUGUCCUUGUCGGGCAACGGAGGGGCCGCAGGGGAGCAUCUCCCGGGCCGUCUUUGAAGCCAGCACAGCACUCAGAGCCUUUGAAGUGGCCAGAGGACACCAUUAGAUGCUCUACCGCCUGGUCCUUUCAUUUCACCUUUCAAUGGACUGGCUCGUGAAGAAAUGGUUGAGCCCUGAGGUGUGGCUCAGUGGAUUGGAGCAUCAUCCCAUCACCUGAAGAAAUCAGUAGGAAGAAAUAUCUUCGGGUAAGGAUAAAAAAGAAAAAGAAAAGAAAAGUUGAAGUGACCUUUGCUUUGGGGACUUAAAACCUUUCCAAGUACCUGGACUUCUUUGAUCUCAGCCCUGCAAUGCAUAUUUGAACAUGUCUGACAUUAAUUUACUAAUCAUCUUCCUUUGAAGAUUAGGCAUUAUAAUGGCAUGUUUUAAUGUGA